rnacentral:rRNA from 1 species
CUACGGGAGGCAGCAGUAGGGAAUCUUCCGCAAUGGACGAAAGUCUGACGGAGCAACGCCGCGUGAGUGAUGAAGGUUUUCGGAUCGUAAAGCUCUGUUGUUAGGGAAGAACCAGUGCCGUUCAAAUAGGGCGGCACCUUGACGGUACCUAACCAGAAAGCCACGGCUAACUACGUGCCAGCAGCCGCGGUAAUA